CAGCUUUUUCCGUCAGUUCCACGGUUUGUGGACUUAGCGCCCUCUUGCGUUCUUUCUGCAACACUAAAUUCACAGUUUAAGCCUGUACAACAAUUUCAUGCUGUUACUGUCUUUGCCUGUACUGUCGCAACCCAGUCUCUCAUUAAUAUGUACUAUAUGUACAAAUAAGCACAAUGGUAAGUAUCUCAUUAACUAUGUACUAUAUGUACAAAUAAGCACUAUGUUUUUAUGUACUAAUAGCACAAACUCAUGAUGCAUUGCGAUCACAACCAUAACAUCAGAUGCCACGCCACUUCUUAAUAUCUUUAAACUUGAUGCGCCCUGAGUUUACGUUGGAUGUAGCUAGCUAUUUUAUGGUGAGAACGCGAGGUAAGUCAUUUUUAGGAAAUGAGAAAUAAUCGAGAAUUUUCUGUAUUUCAGCCCGCAUAACUCUAAACUCUUAUUUUAUUUCAGUCAGUUAUGUAUAUUGGUUUAUCUUGUAGACAAGACAUGAUAUUUAUUUGAUCUGGACAACAGUAUCUUGUAUUUGAUUUCAUUUUACGUUUAACUAGGCAAGUCAAUUAAGAACAAAUUCUAAUUUACAAUGACUGCCUACCAAAAGGCCUCCUGCGGGAUGGGGAUAAAAAAUAAAAAACGUUUUUUUUUUUUUGUGAGGGGGGGGCUUGCCUGUUUUGCAUGUUAUUUUUCCAUUAAUAUGUGUCACAUCAGUUUGCAAACAAUGAAAAAAAAAUACAUAUCAUUGAGUUAAUAAAGCCAAACAUGGUCUCCUUUUUGUUUUCUUGAGUAAGGCAGCUCCAAAAUGCAGGUGUUUCAACCUAGCUCUUUCUGUGGUGGUGGGGCAAGCCAGCAGAAAAUACGGAGCAUUGUGCAGUGAUUGGCUCAGUGUUCUGUCACUCAUGGGGACACUACGUCACUGCCAAGUCUAAGGGUGGAGCUUUAAAAUUCUAGCCCCUUGGGUGUUGCCAUAGAGUUACAUUAGAAGUGCCCAUCAAAGAAGGCUUAAGGUCAUUGGCCAUAGAUAAAAUGGAGUCAAAUCAUGUUAUGUCUACAGUAGCUUUGAUUGGACUGAUCAUGUCAACCAACAUCAUACUUUCAAAAUCUUAGCUAGCAGUCAUCAUCAUGAAUCAAGUCGAUAAUCUACUGGCAAAUAUGUUUUAAUCCUUGUCAUAUGAAGAGAAAUAAUAAAGAGAAAUUAUAGAUAAAACGUAUCGGUGCACAUCGGCCAUUAGGCAAACAUUACACAACAAGUUGGAAAUCGCAAAUUCAACAAUGAGUGGUUUGGAAGGAAUCAGUGGCUAACUGCAAGCAUUGCAAGUCAAUCAUUAGCAUGCUAUUAAGUGGAGUGGCUGUGUGGUCCCAAGUCUAAGAUUAAGGGUCUCUUUUCCUAGUUCAGAAUUAUAAACAUUCAACAUUGGCCAUGCGGUCAAUGAAGCAUGAUUUGUGCCGUGCUCAAAACAACUAUUAACUCGUAACUGCAAAAUCUGACUUUAGUGAGUUCAAGACAUCUGAGAACUCUGGGGAAAACGUGCUACGACUGGGAAAACACGUUUUGAACUUUUAUCUAACUCGGAAUUGUAAAUCGAGAACUCUGGCCUCUUUCUAGAGCUACGCCCUGAAGAUCACUGACGUCAUCAUGAUUUAACCUUAUUUUUUCUCUCCAGUUCCCAGUUGUCUUGAAAGCACCAUAAAUCCAGAGAAUGACAAACUUCGAUGACACAGUUUGAUGACAACAUUUUCCCAUGAUGGACCGCCACGCCACCUUCCUGUUCAAGUGAGCACAGCACAACAAGAUGGUUCCAGUCGCUAGCUGCAGCGAACUGAAAAGAAGAGCGACCCAGGGAUGUGCGCGCGCAAAGGAGGAUGUGGAGGAUGUAUGCUUUUUGGUUCCCGCCAUGAGCCAGUGAACAUUGGGCCUUUUUAGCUAGCUGCUCGCUGUUAUUAUGUAAAAACACAAUAUCAGUCGUGGAAGCACAUGAAAAUGUUUUUUUUUCUGUGAAUUAUUGAGCUAUUCAUUUCAUGACUUCAUUUCAUGAGUGACGGACUGUGAAACUUAAUCUCCCAUGAUUCCGUAGUACCGGAAUUGACACAAACAGACAAUCAUAACAUGCUAGGGGGUACAACAAAUGACAGAUUAUACAAAGGCCUUGUUUUAACAUGUUUCUUAUUGGAAGAAUGUAGUAUGGUCUUAAUGUACUGCUCAAACUCCUUAUAGAAAACAUGGAGAGUGUUUUUUUUUGUUAGUGAAUUUACAUUUAUGAAUAUUACAUUUUUUAUUAGCAUAAUUAGAUUUAAGAGGUCAAAUGUUUUCCUUGUCCUUAUCAUAGUUAAGGAAACCAAGCAGCACAUUCUCACAUAAUAAACAAAAGUCAUCUAGAAUAUUAACAAUUAUAAAACUAAAAAUAUCUUGCCACAAUUUCUUUCCAUGUAGACAAUGCCAAAAUAAAUGUAAAACUGUUUCUGUUUGCUCAACGCAAAAACUACAGUUAAUGUUAUUGUAUUUUUUGAGUUUCUUCAGAUAAUGAUUUGCAGGGUACGGUAACUGACCGUGUUGUGUUUGUUCUUAGUAUACCUCAGUGGUUCUGUUGAUACCUCACGCAACUUAAAAUAAGCAAUUACUCUGCAUAUAAUACAUAACAUAUAAUAAACAGAAGAAACUAUUUAGCAUUUUAAUUAGAUCUUCGAUGGUGUAGUUAGUUAAUUUAUUGCCUGUAUGUGAUCCAUAGAAAUAUGAAUCAUAUUUCUAUGGGACACGUACAGGCCAUAAAUAAACUAGCUACGCUGGUGUCUGCACAUGUUAAACUGUAAUUCUCUUUUUGCUGUUUGUAUACCAAUUGUGUACAUGUGAAUAUUCAAGUACACUUCAUAAAUAGUAAUAUCAGCAUUACUCACCUGUGAUUAAUGAAUUAAAGCAGCUCAAAAACGUUUGAGUGUUAACUGUG